rnacentral:lncRNA from 1 species
AAAUUAAAGAAAAAGCCAGAAAAAGUAAUUUAUAGUUAUGUUUUCAAGUAGAACCUAAGUAAUAUUAUCAGUAUUAAUUUUUUUCUUAAUAAUUAUAGAUUCUUAAAUUAACCUAUCAUAUAUAUGUAUAUUAUUACCUAAAUAUCCUUAAUUUAAAAAGAAAUAUAUAAAAUAUCGGCCGGGCGCGGUGGCUCAAGCCUGUAAUCCCAGCACUUUGGGAGGCCGAGGCGGGUGGAUCACGAGGUCAACAGAUCGAGACCAUCUUGGUCAACAUGGUGAAACCCCGAGAGUGGAAGAGCACACUGACAGGCACC